ACAAGUUGACAUAUACCACUGACAAGUUGAAAUAUACCACUGACAAAUUGACAUUUACCACUGACAAGUUGACAUAUACCACUGACAAGUUGACAUAUACCACUGACAAGUUGACAUAUACCACUGACAAGUUGAAAUAUACCACUGACAAAUUGACAUUUACCACUGACAAGUUGACAUAUACCACUGACAAGUUGAGAAAUACCCAACGCGACUGCAGAAGUGCUUCUGAGUUUUCCCUGUCAUCCAGGUCUGUAGUCUCAGGGACUGUUAAGUUGGUUUUAGAAGACUUUGUGCCUCUCAUUCCAACAUCAGUUCAUGUAGUGUUCUGGUCCCAGUCUUCUGGUCCUGGUCUUCUGGUCCCGGUCUUCUGGUCCCAGAGAACACUGCUGGAUCCAAAGUAUCUCCAUACAACUUUUCACUUGAUGUAUCAUCAUCACAUUUAUGGCUUCAUAGACGCUCAGAAAUUGUUCAUCUCUUUUCAAAAAAUGCACAUUUUAAUGAUCUCACAUGUUAGUUAACUUUGGUUUUCUGUAUUUUGUGUUACUUCCUGUUCAGGGCUCUUAUUUUUCAUUCCACUUCCUUUUUGCCUCCAUUUACCACCACACCUGUGGUCUAAAUCCCAGCAGGCACAAGACAUUGAAACAACGUUGACAACUUGUUGAAUUAGGUCCUGACGUUGAGCAACUCAAAUACAACGUUGAAACAACAUGCUUUUUGAUAACGUUUAAUCGAUGUUGGGUUCUGACGAAGACAUCGACGAAAAAUAAAAACAAAGGACCUAGAUUUCCCUCGCCUGGACGCGGUUCACUGGGGCACCCCUUUGGAGCCAGGCCCGUAAGUGGGGCAUGAUGACAAGCGCCUGGUUGCCGCCCUGUCACUUUGGGGCCCGGCCGGGCACUGCCCGAAGAGGUAACAUGGGCCCCCCCUCCAAUGAGGUUACCAGUCAUAAGAGGGCCCAUAGAGGUCGAGUGCAUGGUGAGCUGGGGGUGGCCAAGGGUAGUGCACUUUGCGGUCUGAUCCUCGGCUGUAUAAGAUAGCUCUUGGGACGUGGAACGUCACCUCGCUGGGGAGGAAGGAGCCUGAGCUAGUGCGCGAGGUGGAGAACUUCCGGCUAGAUCUAGUUGGACGCCCUUUGACGCACAGCAAGGGCUUUGGGACCAGUUCUCCCGAGAGGGGCCGGACUCUCUUCCACCCUGUCGUUGCACGCAGUGAGAGGCGACGGGCUGGGGUGGCAAUAUGUGUUGCACUUCCACCUUGGCAGAACGCCUGCACGUUGGAGUUCAACCCAGUGGACAAGAGGGUAGCUUCCCUCCGCCUUCGGGUGGGGGGGAAGGGUCCUGACUGUUGUUUGUGCUUACACACCAAACAACAGCUCAGAAUACCCACCCUUUUUGGAUUCACUCGAGGGAGUACUGGAGAGUUCUCCCUCGGGUGAUUCCCUUGUCCCAUUGGGGGACUUCAACGCUCAUUUUGGGAACGACAGUGAAACCUGGAGAGGCGUAAUUGGGAACAAUGGCCGCCAGGAUCUGAACCCGAGUGGUGUUUUGUUGUUAGACUUUUGUGCUCGUAACAGAUUGUCCAUAACGGACUCUAUGUUCAAACAUAAGGGUGUCCAUGUGUGCACUUGGCACCGGGACACCUUCGGCCGCAUUUCCAUGAUCGACCUUGUAGUUGUAUAAUCGGAUUUGCGGUCUCAUGUUUUGGACAAUCGGGUGAAGAUAGGGGUGGAGCUUUUCACCGAUCACCACCUGAUGGUAAGUUGGCUCAGAAUGUGGGGGAGUAAGGGUCUGCUGGGAACGCCUAGCAGAGUCUCCUGUCAGAGAGAGUUUCCAUUCCCACCUCCGGAAAAACUUUGAACAUGUCACGAGGGAGGUACGGGACAUUGAGUCCAAGUGGACCAUGUUAGAAUUGGGGGUUAAAUCACCAAAAAUGAUUCCCAGGCGCGGCCACCGCUGCUGCUCUAUGCUCCCCUCACCUCCCUGGGGGUGAUCAAGGGUGAUAGGUCAAAUGCAGAGAAUUAUUUCUCCUCACCUAGUGUGUGUGUGAGAAUCAUUGGUACUUUACUUUACUUUUCUGUACCUCUAUUGUCGAGGCUGCCGAUUGGAGCUGGGUUCGAUGGGUAGAUGGUGCCUGUCGUUGCGGUAAUACUUGAAACCGCUAGUGUACCAGCGGUGAGGAAUGCUGUCAAGCUGAAGAAAGAGUCCUAUUGGGUUCUUUUGGCUUAUAGAACUCCGGAGGCAGCAGACAGGCACCGACAGGCCAAGCAGUGUGCGGAUUCAGUGGUCGCAGAGGAAAAAACUCGGACAUGGGAGAAGUUCGGGGAAGACGUGGAAAACGACAUCCAGACCACCAUUCGCCGCCUCAGGAAGUGGAAGCACUGCACUGUCGCCACCAUGUAUGGUGGGAAUGGUGUUCUGCUGACCUCGACUGCGGAUGUUGUGGAUCGGUGGAGGGAAUACUUCAAAGACCUUCUCAAUCCCACCAACACAUCUUCCUCCGAGGAAGCAGUGCCUGGUGGUGGGUUUUCUUAUUUCUGGUGGCUGAUGUUGUUAAAAAGCUCCUCGGUGGCAAGGCCCCGGGGGUGGAUGAGAUCCGCCCGGAGUUCCCUAAGGCUCUGGAUGCUGUGGGGCUGUCUUAAUUCACAAGACUCUGGAACAACGCUUGGACAGGGGCAGUACCUCUGGAUUGGCAGACCGGGGUGGUGGUUCCUCUCUUUAAGUGGGGGGACCGGAGGGUGUGGUCCAACUACCAUGAGAUCACACUCCUCAGCCUUCACGGUAAGGUCUAUUCAGGUGUACUGGAGAGGAGGCUACGUCGAUUAGUUGAACCUCGGAUUCAGGAGGAACAGUGUGGUUUUUGUCCUGGUCGUGGAACUGUGGACCAGCUCUAUACCCUGGGCAGGGUCCUGGAUGGUGCAUGGGAGUUUGCCCAACCAGUCUACAUGUGCUUUGUGGACUUGGAGAAAGCAUUCCUUCGUCCUGGUCGUGGAACUGUGGACCAGCUCUAUACUCUGGGCAGGGUCCUGGAUGGUGCAUGGGAGUUUGCCCAACCAGUCUACAUGUGCUUUGUGGACUUGGAGAAGGCAUUCCACCGUGUCCCUCAAGAAGUCCUGUGGGGAGUGCUCAGAGAGUAUGGGGUAUCGGACUGUCUGAUGUGGCGGUCCGCUCCCUGUGUGAUCAGUGUCAAAGCUUGGUCCGCAUUGCCGGCAGUAAGUCAGACACGUUUCCAGUGAGGGUUGGACUCCGCCAAGGCUGCCCUUUCUCACCGAUUCUCUUCAUAACUUUUAUGGACAGAAUUUCUAGGCGCAGUCAGGGUGUUGAGGGGAUCUGGUUUGGUGGCUGCAGGAUUAAGUCUCUGCUUUUUGCAGACAAUGUGGUUCUGUUGGGUUCAUCUGGCCAGGAUCUUCAGCUCUCACUGGAUCGGUUCGCAGCCGAGUGUGAAGCGACUGGUAUGAGAAUCAGCAGCUCCAAGGCCGAGUCCAUGGUUCUCGCCCGGAAACGGGUAGAGUGCCAUCUCCGGGUUGGGGAGGAGAUCUUUCCCCAUCUGGAGGAGUUCAAGUACCUAGGAGUCUUGUUCAUGAGUGAGGGAAGAGUGGAUCGUGAAAUCAACAGGCGGCGUCUUCAUUAAUGCGGACGAUUUAUCGAUCCCUUGUAGUGAAGAAGGAGCUGAGCCGGAAGGCAAAGCUCUCAAUUUACCGGUCAAUUUACGUUCCCAUCCUCAUCUAUGGUCAUGAGGUUUGUGACAAGAUCACGGGUACAGGCGGCCGAAAUGAGUUUCCUCCGCCGGUUGGCGGGGCUCUCCCUUAGAGAGAGUGAGGAGCUCAAAAGUAAAGCCGCUGCUUCUCCACAUCGAGAGGAUCCAGAUAAGGCGGUUUGUUAGGGCAUCUGGUACAGAUGCCACCCAAGUGUUUCCUUAGGGAGGUGUUCAGGGCACGUCUGACCGGUAGGAGGCUACGGUGAAGAACCCAGGACAUGUUGGGAAGACUAUAUCUCCCGGCUGGCCUGGGAACGCCUUGGGAUCCCCAGGCAGGAGCUGGAAAGGUGGCCGGGGAGAGGGAAGUCUGGGCUCCUCUGCUUAGGCUGCUGCAAUCGGACCUCGGAUAAGUGGCGUUGAUUUAACAUAAAAAUGUGGUCAUAUCCCAACCAAUAUUCUACAAAACAAAUACAACGUUGAAACAACAUGUUUUUUGUCAACGUUUGUUCAAUGUCAGGUUGUGACGUUGAUUUGAAAUUUAAAUUUGGUCAUUUCCCAACAACAAUAUGAUUUGCCCAAGUGGCUAAAAGGACAGAUUUUAAUCUAUUAAAAAAUGGUACAAAUAAGAAUCACGAUUCAUUCAAAAACUAACUUUUUUUGAUAACCCUAGGUGACAUUUAAAUGUUGACUGGCUGUUCAAGUUUGCACAAGCAAACAAGCUGUGUUUCAAUUCAUGCUAACAACACCCUUGCUAUUUAGCCACUGGAUUGCAGUGCAGAACUAAAGUUGUUGGGAGUGAGAGACCAGUCGUUAGGAUGGAAUGACCCUUGUUUCAGUCCGUUGGUCAGUGGUCAAAGGUGCACCUGAAAUGCUGUCCUUUCAUCCCUUUGGAAGACAUUCAGUCAUUUUGCUUUUAACAAAUAACCAACAGGACACGGACACCUUUGGUUCAGGUUGAUCUUCUCAGACUAUAAGGUUCCUCUCCAAGAACUGAUGAAGCCUGCUCAGAUGAGAGGCAAAAUGUCUUCCAAGACCAUCUGAACAGUCUGUUUGUGAUGAUCAGAUACCUGGUGGUGACUGCAGAAGUGUCGGUCAUCAUCCCGGACCAACUGUGUUGCCAAAAAGAACCUUUUUGAAGCAUGGCAUUAGUGAGCCUGGUUGUGUAUUUAUUUCCGAAGAACCAAUUGGGAAGGAUCUGCCUUUUUUAAUUCCCCAUGAGCAGCUCUAAGACCUUCUUCAGUUUGGACUUCCUUCUACACUUCCUACAUGCAUGGAGCACCGCCCUUAUUUUUAUUUUCCAAGAGCCCAAAGACUGGCUUGAGUAGGACAUCCGUUCCACAGCUCACCAAAAUGGAAGCUAAAAGAUCCCAAGUGGUGUAUUUCUUAUGUCCACCUGGAAGGACAACAGGUCUUCUUUGCGUGUGUGACGUCCGACAUGCACUCAAGUUCUCCUCUCCAACAUGUGCCAACACCAAAGGUGAUCUGUCUUAAAUCCUUUUUCUUUGUGGAUUAGUGGAAGGAAACAUGGCUUUGACGUGGAUCAAUUAAAGGGCAGUGAACGCAACACGCUGUCUGCUGCAUUAUUAAACCUAUUAUUAUCGGGUUUAAACACAAAACUAUCUAUUAAACAGAACAAGAAGAAAGGAAUCAGGCAGAGACAUAGUUCAAUUUAGCUCAUGAGGAGAACGCAUGGAGCUGCACAAUCAGUUAAAGUCUCACCCUUCGCUCUGAGGAACAGUCCAUGUGUUCCUCUAUUUAUUCAGUUUGGGAGUUCCCUAGUUACAUCGCUGAGGCUGCUUCUAAAGGGAGGGGUCACACAUUAUGCUAGCAGCUCAGUAUGCGCAGUACGUGACGGAUUGUGCUGGGGUCCGUAUGAUCGUGCCCUGUCUCUGAUUUGUACGCUGCUGAUAGUAUGAUUUAUCUACGUUGAGGUGCUGGUUCGUUCUUGGCUGUUAGAAGGCUGAAAGACAGUAAACUUCUGCGGCGGGGCCACUCCUCACAUGCCAUGGAAGAUAACAAGUUGUGCGCCCUGGCACGAAGCAGAAAAAGUACAGAAUAGAUCAUUACUAGAGCAACGGCCUUUAUGCAUAAGAGUUGUGAUAAAUUAUUUAGAAUUAUUCUAAAAACGGCUUAACAGUUUUGUGAUUUGGUUUAUUUUGCAAUAAACUUACCGCUCUGCUUUUCAGCAAUCGCCUUUCGUGACGGUCUCAAUCUUCGGGUUUGUUUUCAGCCAUCGGCUCUCGUCUCGCUUGUGCUCGGGUUUUCUCUCCAGCAUCUUUAACUCCAAAUUCUCCAACCUCUUCCUUCCCGACUGCUGCCCUUUCAUAAAGUGACAGGUGAUCUACGCACCUGUCGCCGAUCUCGGAGCCGGCCCCGCCUCGCUGCAGGUCCGCAGGCUACACCCCCUCACGUGUGUUUCUACAUUUGUUGUUUGUUCUGUUUUACUUUAUGUUUAAAUCUAUCACGUUCACAUUGGUUAAGUUUAUAGUUAUCUUGCCUUUAAUUUGACUGUUAUGGUGUAAUUUUUUGGGACAAUUGUUUUUAAUUAUAUUCUAAUAUUUGAAUGACGAUAAAUGAACGUGUCGUGGCAGUUGUGGAUGUCUGGCAGCUGCUUGGUGUCAUGCAUCCAAGCAAGAACUCUUCAUUUUGACAGCCCUGUUAGACGCUUUCUUCAUCAAACCUGCUUAGUGUCAUGAAUCCAAGCAAGAACUCUCUUCAUUUUGACACAGAACUGCUGAGGCCGUCAAAAACAGUCAAGAUUUUGAACAUUUUUAAGAAUGCCAUUGAUUUUGAAAUCCGUAGCAUUUGAAGUCAAUCAUUGAGUAUUAUAUUAUAAGUUUGUAUUUUUAAAACCAAUGUCAAUAUAAAUGUAAGUGCAGGAUCACUCAGGUCAAACGUCAAAUAAGUAUUUUACCGCCUUCAAAUUUAUAUUGACUAUUAUUGCAAGAAUACGAUUGGUUUUAAAAGACAUUGAUGAGGCUGUUUGUUCCAAAAGUCGAAGGCCAUGAAGUUAUGUAAAUAAAUAACCAGGAUGUGUCA